UACGUAGGGUGCAAGCGUUGUCCGGAAUUAUUGGGCGUAAAGAGCUCGUAGGCGGUUUGUCGCGUCUGCUGUGAAAGUCGGGGGCUCAACCCUCGAAUGCCGGUGGAUACUGUCGGGCUAGAGUGCGGAAGAGGCGAGUGGAAUUCCUGGUGUAGCGGUGAAAUGCGCAGAUAUCAGGAGGAACACCAAUGGCGAAGGCAGCUCGCUGGGACGUGACUGACGCUGAGACGCGAAAGCGUGGGGAGCAAACAG
rnacentral:rRNA from 1 species